rnacentral:rRNA from 1 species
UACGUAGGGGGCAAGCGUUGUCCGGAAUCAUUGGGCGUAAAGCGCGCGUAGGUGGCCCCAUAAGUCCGCUGUGAAAGUCAAAGGCUCAACCUUUGAAAGCCGGUGGAUACUGUGGGACUAGAGUACGGAAGAGGCGAGUGGAGUUCCUGGUGUAGCGGUGGAAUGCGCAGAUAUCAGGAGGAACACCAAUAGCGAAGGCAGCUCGCUGGGACGUUACUGACACUGAGGCGCGAAAGCGUGGGGAGCGAACAGG